rnacentral:rRNA from 1 species
AUUGAACGCUGGCGGCAUGCCUUACACAUGCAAGUCGAACGGCAGCACGGGUGCUUGCCCCUGGUGGCGAGUGGCGAACGGGUGAGUAAUACAUCGGAACAUGUCCUGUAGUGGGGGAUAGCCCGGCGAAAGCCGGAUUAAUACCGCAUACGAUCUACGGAUGACAGCGGGGGGCCUUCGGGCCUCGCGCUAUAGGGUUGGCCGAUAGCUGAUUAGAUAGUUGGUGGGGUAAAGGCCUACCAAGGCGACGAUCAGUAGCUGGUCUGAGAGGACGACCAGCCACACUGGGACUGAGACACGGCCCAGACUCCUACGGGAGGCAGCAGUGGGGAAUUUUGGACAAUGGGCGAAAGCCUGAUCCAGCAAUGCCGCGUGUGUGAAGAAGGCCUUCGGGUUGUAAAGCACUUUUGUCCGGAAAGAAAUCCUUGGCUCUAAUACAGUCGGGGGAUGACGGUACCGGAAGAAUAAGCACCGGCUAACUACGUG